UUGGUGUAUUUUUGGAAACACUCUUUAAGUCUGCAUGGUUGAAAUCCCCAGCUAUGAUGAGAAAAGCAUCAGGGUGGUCUGUCUGCUGCUCACUGAUGUGCUGGUACAGUUCAUUUAGUGCAUCGUUGCUGCUGUUGUUCGGAGAAAUGUAUACAGCAAAGACUAGUAUGGCUGUAUAUUCCCUCGGUAGAUAGAAUGACCAGCGCUUAAUAAUCAUAAACUCCACCAGGGGUGAGCAGUGUUUGCAGACUACAACAGCACCGCGGCACCACGGGUCAUUGAUGUAAACACAAAGCCCGCCGCCACGGGUUUUACCUCCCGCGACCAGACCUCUGUCUGCUCGAUAGCACGUCAGCUGGUCAAGCUGAAUAGCACCGUCUGGAAUGCUGUUGCUAAGCCGUGUUUCCGUGAACACAAAAACACAACAGUCUCUUACAGUCCUCUGAGUUGAGCGUAGUAAUCGGAUGUAGUCCAGUUUAUUGUCCAUAGAGCAUACGUUAGCCAGUACGAUGGUGGGGAUAGAUGCUUGUGUGGGUUAGCCUAGCUCAGAUACCUCCGUGUCAAACCCCUCUUCUGCUUGUGGCACCUCCGCUCUGGGUGAGAUGCAGUAGUUGGGGUCGGUGAUGGUGUAGGCCUCUGGAGCAGACCGAGAUCCCACAGCUGUUCCAAAGACGUAAAAAAACACUGCGACUCACAAGAUAAAAAACAUGAAAACUCCAUUCUGAUGGGACAGAGAGAAGCCGCUGCGUGUGGACGUGCCGCCAUCUUGAGGUGGAAAGGUCUUCAUCUUAGUCCCGUGUUAAAAUGUCCUUGCUAGUUUUUUUUUUUAAUCAUAUUUAGUCAACCUUAUCCUAUUUAGAUUGUCUAGUUUUAGUCUGCUAAAAGUCUCAACAUUUUAAUUUAGUUUUAGUCCAAGCAAACCUUAAGAAUUUUAGUCUAGUUUUUGUCAAUGAAAACUUGACACAGCAAUAAGAUUAUUAAUUAACCGUACAGUAUUCAUUUUGGCAGCCAUUUUUAAUUUGGUCUUGGUCUUACUCAAAUGAACAUUUUAGUUAUUAUAUUUAGUCAACCUUGUCCUGUUUUUGUUUAGUCAAGUUUAAGUCAAUGAAAUGUAAAAGCGUUUUUAUGAAAUCUUAGUCACAUUUUCGUUAUUUUGUAUAAUGAUUAAACUGAUAAAAUAAUAUUUUUGCUCAAUUAUAAUCGUAAUGAUUGUUGUCAUUUGAGAAAUUUACUUUUGCAUUUCAGGUACUGCACUUUCACCAGUAAGCACAAACCAAUAGAAUGUGGACACAUACAUGAUGUAUUUUACCUCAUCUAGUGUACCGAUUUAUUAUAGGCUUUUUAUUAUAUAAAUUAAUACUAAAGACUUAUGCAAUCUCUCUCUGUCUACAUUAUGAAAACAGCUAAAACAAGCAAAAAAAUAUUAUUACUAGCAACUCCAAUUUGCAAUAGCCUAUUUCUCUAUUAAAACAGCAGCGGUUGAGUAAGUGCAUUUAAUCAUUGAUCACAGUCGCAAACAAUAUAGUCGAGAUCUCAUGACAGAACACAGACUGGGUGAAAGACACUUUUAUUUAGGUCGCUAAACUGCAGCUUAUUUGUUUUUCAGAUCAUCGGCGGCGGCGCUUCAGUGAGCUUGUGCGCAUGGUUGCCAAAUUGCUUAAAAUAAGCAAAACAAUUAUUCUUGAAUCGCAGAUUUAACGAUGGUGUGAUAAUGCUAUUCAUGCUAGCACAAAAUCAUCUUCAGUCCCUCUAUGCCUACAAUAAGGAGAUAGUGUUUGCCUGGCUUCAAGCAGCUACUUUUGUUUAUCUUCACCAGUUGUCUUAUCUGAGAACAGCGUUCCUGAUCAUAAUUGAAAUACACAAUCUUCACCAGCUGAGACGAGAGUAUUCACUAAGUGACAAUCAGCCUGAAUGCAGAGGCAGGGAAGUCGAACAGAGAAGACCAACUGAUGAGAGUGAAGGCACACAAACCAAAGUUCCACUGAUGGUUCAAGGACAGCUGAUUGAGGAAGUGCUGCAGUUUAUUAACCUUGCGAUCAUAGUGGUCUCUGAUGGAGGGACAUAGGCUGAAUCAACAGCUGAAUAAGGAAGAUCAAGACAUAGAAACAGGCUUUCCAAGAGAUCUGUAAGACAGUGGCAUCAAAUGGGAAGAUGUGGAUAAUGCGGCCAUGGAUUGAAUACUUGGAUAGUCUUGUUGGCCAUUGCGCCAACACAUGACCUGUUCUGAUAAUGUUUUAAUCUCUGCAGAGAAAGAAGCUACUCUCUUUAAAUAUUAAGGCAUGCCACCUCUCCUAACCAUAGAGAGGUGAGAGUGAGAGAGUGCGAGAGUGCACUCCCUGAAUGAUUUUAUAGCUGAACUAUUAUGUCUUUGUGCUGGGGGGUUCAAACCUCAUUAAGGUUUGCCUAUGGAUAGCUCCGAAUCUGAACCCUUCAGAGCGAAGCCUGCUGCCAAAUAUAAAGUUCAGGACCUCUACAAUAAUCUUACUCAGAGUGGUCCUGGCUGAAAAACAAAAAAAAAAAAAAAAAUAUAUAUAAAAAUAUUUUUGUUGUUGUUUAAAAGCAGAGGAUCUGUUCUUUUUCUUUUGACAUAUUCAUAGAUGCAAACUCCUAGUAUUUUCUUUACCCUUACUUCAAAAAUCAUGUCUAAAAAGGGUAAUAUUUGAUGUAUUUGAGGUCUCAGAUGUGGGAAAGAGAGUAAAAAGAGAGAGGGCAAACAUUUUGCACUUUAGGUCAGCAUAAUCAGCCAAUAUUGUCUUAAAUAGCCUGCAUAGCACAUCAUCUUUUAUGACAUGGGAUUGUGACCAAAUAUAUUCAAUCUUGAGUUCUGUAAAAUUUUGAGUUUUUUUUUUUUUUUUUUUUUUUUUUUUUUGUGAAAAAUUAUUGGACACAUAAUCUAAUAAAAAUAUGUUUAAAAAUGCAUUAAAGUAAUUACAAAUGAGCGUGUAAAGCAGGGUUCCUCAAUAGCCGGCCCGCAGGCCACAUCCGGCCCACAAGAGAAAAAUUUUUAGACUGUGCUAAUGUGCCAUAAAACUUCAAACACAGCAUCAGAAAGCGACAUUAACUUGCGUCAUGUCUACACCGGACAUUUGGGCACGAUGCAACAAAAUACAAUAAGAGCUUAUUACAAUCAGUAAUGCUGUCUACACUGGAUGCGGUGCAGUGCGGCGUGAUAAAUCCCUGACAGAAAACUGCUGACUCCUUCUAUGUAUGGCGUGCUAACACACAGUUCAAAUGAUUUGCAAUGCUUUGUCGCAUCCAGUGUAGAUAUACGAUGUGACAGCAAAAACAUGGCAAGAAAAGUAAAGAAAAGAAAAUGUAAAGAAAAGUGGACACUGAAAAUAGAUGAUUCAAAUGUGAAUGGACUGAACAGUUUUGCCUGAGUGAUACCAUCUUUAUGGAUGUUGGUUCGCAGUGAGUUCACAGUUUUAAUGUAAGUUUGUUUUAGCCUAAUUUAUUUUUAAGAUCUGAGGUAAAAUAUCGAUUGUUGCUUUCAUUAUGACUGUAAAGAUCAUAAUAAUAUUCAAAAAUAAUAAAUAAUAUUCAAACUCACAUUAGACACUUUUAGCACUGAAUAAAGCACAUAAUCAUUACCUCAGGUUAUCACUGUCAUAUUUUGUAUGUUGUUCCUGCCGCGAGGUCGCAUAAAAUAAAAACCAUUUAUAAAAUAGAGUUCCGUGUCGCUUAUUGUCACAUGUCACUGUCGCGGGUGGUUAGAGCAAAAACUACAUGGAAAAGAUACUUUUUAUCACAUCACGUCUGGUUGGAACACACAGUGUUACAUUUUGACCCCCCCCCCCCCCCCAAAAAAAAAAAAUCUAAGUAUAAAAAUAUUAAUGCUGACAGAUCUAAUAAUUGAAUCUGCAAUUAGGGAAAAUGGAGAGAAGUCGUCCAGUCUGGAGCAGGGACAGUUGAUUUGCAUGGCAGACAUGGAGAUCCAGAUUUUUUGUUCGUUCAUUUGUUUUUAACAUUUAACAGGCAAAGUUCUUCUUUAUCUAAAUGCAAAAAUGUUCAUAAUUGUUUGAAUAAAACAGAAUACUGCAGAGAAAAUUCUGAAUAUUUAUCGUGACCAUCUUUUGAUUAUUUUAACAAAAGCAACAAUAUAAUAAUUGUAAUAUAAUAAUAAUUAUAAUAAUAAUAAUAAUAAUAAUAAUAAUAAUAUAUAUGUGUGUGUGUGUAGGUCAGUGGCCCUUGGCUUGGUAUUGCUGGCAGAAUUCAACCCUCGGCGAAAACUAAUUGAGGAACCCUGGUGUAAAGCAAACAUCUUUAAAAGAAAUUACGUGUGGAGCAUGCCCCCAAUCCACACAGUGUUCUCAUCUUUUUUCCUCCUUACCUGUUUGCAUCUCUGCAGAGAUUUAUACAACUAAAUAUUAUGGGUAACAUUAAACUGAUAAAAAUGAAAAAAUAAUGCUGGCGGUAGCUGGCAACUAAAAAAAAAAAACAAACAAAACAAAGCAAAAAAAACCUGGCAGGGAAAGAGUUUAAAAAGUAUUCAUUACAUUCCUAGUGAAGUACUACAUUAUUCACAAUCUUGAAAUUAUAUCUACCAAUCAGAGAAAUCAUUAGCAUGGCAACUUGAUUCUCCGCAAAGAACAGUGGUUCAAUGUUAAGUGAAAAGGAUGUUCUUUUAUAGCAUUUCUUUAGGCCAGCAGUAAUCUGUAUGCUCAAUAGUGCUUAAUUGACCAUUCGCAAAGACUGCUUAGUUACUUUUGCUAU